AGGGAGACUGCCGGUGACAAACCGGAGGAAGGUGGGGACGACGUCAGGUCAUCAUGGCCCUUACGACCUGGGCUACACACGUGCUACAAUGGCUGGUACAGAGGGUUGCGAAGUCGCGAGGCGAAGCUAAUCCCUUAAAGCCAGUCGUAGUCCGGAUCGGAGUCUGCAACUCGACCCCGUGAAGUCGGAAUCGCUAGUAAUCGCGGAUCAGAAUGCCGCGGUGAAUACGUUCCCGGGCCUUGUACACACCGCCCGUCACACCAUGGGAGUGGAUUGCACCAGAAGUGGCUAGUCUAACUACGGAGGACGGUCACCACGGUGUGGUUCAUGACUGGGGUGAAGUCGUAACAAGGUAGCCGUAGGGGAACCUGCGGCUGGAUCACCUCCUUAAUCU
rnacentral:rRNA from 1 species